UCUGGUUGAUCCCGCCGGAGGCUAUUGCUAUCUGGGUUCGACUAAGACAUGCGAGCUGCGAGGGGUACCCUCGGCGAACUGCUCUGUAAUACGUGGUCAACUUACCGUUAGCAGGGGGAUAAUGUCGCGAAAGUGACGCUAAUACCCCAUAGUUAUAGAUUUCUGGAAUGAGUCUAUAGCAAAAGCUACGGUGGCUCGAUAGGACUGCGGUCUAUCAGGCUGUUGUUUGUGUAAUGAACAAACAAACCGAUAACGGAUACGGGCUAUGGAAGUAGGAGCCCGGAGAUGGAUUCUGAGACAUGAAUCCAGGUACUACGGUACGCAGCAGUUGCGAAAACUUUACAAUUGGCUAACGCCAGAUAAGGGAACCUGGAGUGUUCUUUUUUUUACAAGACUUUUGCUUUCUGCAAACAGGAGAGUGAAUAAGGGGUGGGUAAGACGGGUGCCAGCCACCGCGGUAAUACCCGCACCCCGAGUGAUAGCCACGAUUAUUGGGUCUAAAGCGUCCGUAGCCGGUUUAACAAGUCCCUGGUGAAAUUUUACGGCAAACCGAAAGCUUGCUGGGGAUACUGCUAGACUUGAGACCGGGAAAGGGUAGGGGUACUCCUGGGGUAGGGGUGAAAUCCUGUAAUCCUAGGGGGACCACCUGUGGCGAAGGCGCCUACCUGGAACGGGUCUGACGGUGAGGGACGAAAGCUAGGGGAGCAAUCGGGAUUAGAUACCCCGGUAGUCCUAGCCGUAAACGUUGCCCUCUUGGUGUUGCAGGCUUCUCGGGAGCUUGCAGUGCCGGAGCGUACGUGUUAAGAGGGCCACCUGGGAAGUACAGCCGCAAGGCUGAAACUUAAGGGAAUUGGCGGGGGAGCACACAAAGGGUGGGCGUUGCGGUUUAAAUGGAUUCAACGCC
rnacentral:rRNA from 1 species